GGGGAAGUAGCUCAGAUGGUAGAGCGCUCGCUUAGCAUGCGAGAGGUAAAGGGUUCGAUACCCUUCUUCCUCA
rnacentral:tRNA from 1 species